CUUAUCACGUGGACAGUGGCCCUCCUGAUGAUCAAGCUUUACAAGUCCUCAUUAAGAUAUUGAAGGCUAUUAAUGAGGAUAGUCCAACGGUGCCCACAUUAUUAACGGACUACAUAUUGAAAGUUCUGUGCCCCAUCUAGUGAUCCACUAGUACAUAUCCUCCGACGUGACAUCGCUGUGCUACGUAUAAAGAAGAAAAGAUUUAUUAAAAUGCAGAUUGCUCCUCUCUACUUGCCAUUGUGCUUUCAUAUAGCACUACAAUAAAUCUUAUAGAAAUAAGCUCUCAUUGAGAUUUUUCUGCAUUUAUGACUCGACGCGAGAAGGCAAAAAUCAAUGUAAUGCCAUCUGUAAGGUAAUUGGACUUGUAUUCGCACUACGAGAACUCGUUGGGCAUUUUGCGGUGAAAUUUGAAAAAUUGUUGUA